rnacentral:tRNA from 1 species
GGGCUUGCCGAUGGGUCGGCGCUUUGACUUGCAAUCAAGGCUUCUGGGUUCGAUUCCCAGCUUGUCCA